GCUUUCUAGAGCAUCAGGAUUUAAGUGGAUGAAGUUUGCAAUCUCUUGGAUUACUUGUACUCACAAGAGAAACAGACAGCAAUCUCAGGACCUUACUGUGUCUGGCUCUGACAGAAGGUCGUUGUUUCCUGCCUCCUCCCAUGAAUGCCGUAUCCAGCACUCGGUCUGUCAGCCUUUGAGCUGCCGUACUGCUUUAAAUGUGGGAUCCUGUAGGACACUCGGAAAAUGAUAACACCAGCACCAUUUGCCAGUGAGGAAAGGAAGACACAGAAAAUAAGGCACCUGAAGAACAGCAAUUAGGAGGCAUCAAGGU